GAUGAACGCUGGCGGCGUGCCUAAUACAUGCAAGUCGAGCGAACGGACGAGAAGCUUGCUUCUCUGAUGUUAGCGGCGGACGGGUGAGUAACACGUGGAUAACCUACCUAUAAGACUGGGAUAACUUCGGGACACCGGCGCUAAUACCGGAUAAUAUUUUGAACCGCAUGGUUCAAAAGUGAAAGACGGUCUUGCUGUCACUUAUAGCUGGAUCCGCGCUGCAUUAGCUAGUUGGUAAGGUAACGGCUUACCAAGGCAACGAUGCAUAGCCGACCUGAGAGGGUGGUCGGCCACACGGGAGCUGAGACACGGACCAGACGCCUACGGGAGGCAGCAGUAGGGAAUCUUCCGCAAUGGGCGAAAGCCUGACGGAGCAACGCCGCGUGAGAGAUGAAGGUCUUCGGAUCGGAAAACUCUGUUAUUAGGGAAGAACAUAUGUGUAAGUAACUGUGCACAUCUUGACGGUACCUAAUCAGAAAGCCACGGCUAACUACGUG
rnacentral:rRNA from 1 species